rnacentral:rRNA from 1 species
GAUGAACGCUAGCGGCGGGCUUAAUACAUGCAAGUCGAGGGGUAGCAAUACACCGGCGCACGGGGGCGUAACUCGUAUGCAAUCUACCUUUAUCUCGGGGAUAGCCCGGGGAAACCCGGAUUAAUACCGCAUAAGUCAAUAACUCGGCAUCCAGUAGCUUUGUAAGGUUUAUCGGAUAAGGAUGAGCAUGCGUAAGAUGAGAUAGUUGGCGAGGUAACGGCUCACCAAGUCUACGAUCUUUAGGGGCUCUGAGAGGAGAAUCCCCCACACUGGCACUGAGAUACGGGCCAGACUCCUACGGGGGGCAGCAGUAGGGAAUAUUGGGCAAUGGACGCAAGUCUGACCCAGCCACGCCGCGUGCAGGAAGAAGGCCCUCUGGGUUGUAAACUGCUUUUGACUGGGAAGAAAAGACCUCUUGCGAGAGGAGUUGACGGUACCAGCAGAAUAAGCCACGGCUAACUACGUGCCAGCCGCCGCUGUAAGAC